rnacentral:rRNA from 1 species
CCUACGGGAGGCAGCAGUGAGGAAUAUUGGUCAAUGGCCGGAAGGCUGAACCAGCCAUGCCGCGUGAGGGAAGACUGCCCUAUGGGUUGUAAACCUCUUUUGUCAGGGAGCAACGCCGGCUACGUGUAGCCGGACUGAGAGUACCUGAAGAAAAAGCAUCGGCUAACUCCGUGCCAGCAGCCGCGGUCAUACGGAGGAUGCGAGCGUUAUCCGGAUUUAUUGGGUUUAAAGGGUGCGUAGGCGGAAUGCCAAGUCAGCGGGAAAAUCGCGGGGCUCAACCUCGCUCCGCCGUUGAAACUGGCGUUCUUGAGUGGGCGAGAAGUAUGCGGAAUGCGUGGUGUAGCGGUGAAAUGCAUAGAUAUCACGCAGAACUCCGAUUGCGAAGGCAGCAUACCGGCGCCCAACUGACGCUGAAGCACGAAAGCGUGGGUAUCGAACAGGAUUAGAUACCCUUGUAGUC